CUUUUGCACACAGCAAACUGGUGCCACUGGAAACCAAAGGACUCUAGAAGUGAGCUCAAAUAACAUGACAUUUGGUGGUAUAAAGUCUAUUGAUGCCAUUUUGCUAAGGCAAAUCAGAACUCAUGACUUUGUUGGCUGUAUGAGAAACCUGCAAGUGAACAACAUUCGUCCUGAUUCAUUAAAAUCUCUGGCAUCCCACAAUGUUCUUCCAAGGUGUCCAAGAACACAUAUUCCUCCCUGUGAGGCUGCAGUGUGUUUGAAUGAAGGAGUUUGUCAAGACCAAUGGUCUCA